rnacentral:rRNA from 1 species
GUGCCAGCCGCCGCGGUAAUACGAAGGGUGCAAGCGUUAAUCGGAAUUACUGGGCGUAAAGCGCGCGUAGGUGGUUCGUUAAGUUGGAUGUGAAAGCCCCGGGCUCAACCUGGGAACUGCAUCCAAAACUGGCGAGCUAGAGUAUGGCAGAGGGUGGUGGAAUUUCCUGUGUAGCGGUGAAAUGCGUAGAUAUAGGAAGGAACACCAGUGGCGAAGGCGACCACCUGGGCUAAUACUGACACUGAGGUGCGAAAGCGUGGGGAGCAAACAGGAUUAGAAACCCGAGUAGUCC